UACGUAGGGGGCAAGCGUUGUCCGGAUUCAUUGGGCGUAAAGAGCGUGUAGGCGGCCAGGUAGGUCGGUUGUGAAAACUGGAGGCUCAACCUUCAGAGGUCGACCGAAACCAUCUGGCUAGAGUCCGGGAGAGGAGAGUGGAAUUCCCAGUGUAGCGGUGAAAUGCGUAGAUAUUGGGAGGAACACCAGUGGCGAAGGCGGCUCACUGGACCGGUACUGACGCUGAUGCGCGAAAGCGUGGGGAGCAAACGGG
rnacentral:rRNA from 1 species